rnacentral:rRNA from 1 species
AUUGAACGCUGGCGGCAGGCCUAACACAUGCAAGUCGAGCGGAUGAAGGGAGCUUGCUCCUGGAUUCAGCGGCGGGCGGGUGAGUAAUGCCUAGGAAUCUGCCUGGUAGUGGGGGAUAACGUCCGGAAACGGGCGCUAAUACCGCAUACGUCCUGAGGGAGAAAGUGGGGGAUCUUCGGACCUCACGCUAUCAGAUGAGCCUAGGUCGGAUUAGCUAGUUGGUGGGGUAAAGGCCUACCAAGGCGACGAUCCGUAACUGGUCUGAGAGGAUGAUCAGUCACACUGGAACUGAGACACGGUCCAGACUCCUACGGGAGGCAGCAGUGGGGAAUAUUGGACAAUGGGCGAAAGCCUGAUCCAGCCAUGCCGCGUGUGUGAAGAAGGUCUUCGGAUUGGAAAGCACUUUAAGUUGGGAGGAAGGGCAGUAAGUUAAUACCUUGCUGUUUUGACGUUACCAACAGAAUAAGCACCGGCUAACUUCGUG